GUCAAGGUGGUGGAGUGGUUAACACGUUCGCCUGCUAUUAUCACUUGGUAAAGUUAAGCGGAUGCCUUCGGGCGCGCAGGUUCGAAUCCUGUCCUUGACG